GGAACUACAGCACUUGGAAAAAGCUUUUCUUCAGAACGGAUAUUCCCAGUUGGACAUCAAAAAAGCUGUAGGAGUGGGACGUGUUACGUUACAGCCGGUAAAACAGGUAGAUAUUAAAUUGACUAAUCUUAAAAAAUGGCAGCUAAUCAACCUUUUUGUCUUUUGGUAAGAAUGCGAGAGUCCAAUGGCGAAUUGCGCUGAAAAAGGAAAUAAUUUUAAUGUUAACCAACCAAUCAUUUUAAUGUUAAAAUUAUGAAAACGGACAAACAAAUUUACUAGAGAAGUUAAACGUGGUAAAACGUCGAGGGAAAAGCUCUGGUAUGUUAGUAGAAAAUAAAACAGGAAAAUGGUAAUGUAUGUUAUGACAAUGGUAAGAGUUACCGAUACUAUAAUUUUAUAUAAUUUAUAUUUGAAAUUUAUUGCAUAAUUUACUAAUAUAAUGUUUUUAGACACCUUCGUCAUAGAAUAGCAUAGGAUUUUCUGUUACAGCUUGAGCCUAAGUGUGUCGUAGGAUACCGAUACCCUCUAGGUGAUAGCUCUUGAUUACCUUUUGAUAAAGAAUUCGUUCUUUAUUGUGAAAUAAGAGCACUCUUUAUCAAUCUGUAAUAGAAGACGUGAGAAAAUUCGGUUUUUCCAAAACCCCUGAAUUUGAAGCGUACCUAAUGAGGAUCGUACUGAACAAAAAUAGGACUUUGAUGAAACAAGAAAGGACAUACGACUCAAACAGCACUAUACCAACUUGUAAGUGAGUAAACAGCCAGACUGCAGUCCCAGACAACUCACACCGCCAGCUCUAGAAGGUACAUAAGAGAGCCCAUUUCCCAAACCUCAUCGAUAACAAAAAAUAAUUAUAUAUAAAUCAA